rnacentral:lncRNA from 1 species
UGGCUUUCAGUGGUGUAUUGUUGAGUUUUUGUAUGAACUAAUCUUGCCUCAGUGAAAGAGACCUAGGGCUUGGACAAAACGUCUAGAGCCACAGCAUUCCUAGCUGGCUCUCCCCUUGAACACUGAGCAGAAGGCUGGGCUGAGGGAGGCAGAGUAGACGGGAAGGCAGGCCGGAGGAGAGGCAGGGACGGGAGAGCCCCGGCCGCGGUAGGAGAGCCAGGCCGGGUUAGUGGGAUGAGAGGGAGGGCGGGUGCACGUGGGGGAGAAGGUCAGGAAGAUGGAGACUGGGAAGGCUUCAGCGGCAGGUUGGAGGAUAACUGCAGGUAGAGGAGGAGGCCGCGUAGGGAUGGGAUGUAGACGUCAGCAGCUGACGUCCAAUCAGACCCAGGGAUCAUUCUGACAACCGUGACAUCACCACAAGAUUUAUUCAUUGGAGGAAAGCUUUGAAAGGGGGAAUUCUGCUUUAUUUUGCAGAGGAAGGUGAGGUUUUAACAUUUUUUUUGUUCAAUAAUUUGGUAAAAAUAUUCAAUCAAGGUUCAAAUCAAACUUUCAUGGACUCAUAUAUCACAAACAUUAUGACAGAAGAUGCAACUUUGUCCAAGCAAUUCUUAUAGUUUCUGUUAAACUAAAGUUAAAGUUAAUUCACUUCUGAACUAUUGAGUUUCAUCAGAAUCUGCUUCAUAUUCAGUAUAACUGUGAGAAUCACAGCAUCGCACUGCAGUGUAGCGUUGA